rnacentral:rRNA from 1 species
UCGGGAAUAUUGCGCAAUGGAGGAAACUCUGACGCAGUGACGCCGCGUAUAGGAAGAAGGUUUUCGGAUUGUAAACUAUUGUCGUUAGGGAAGAUAAAAGACUGUACCUAAGGAGGAAGCCCCGGCUAACUAUGUGCC